rnacentral:lncRNA from 1 species
CACCACUGCCCACCCAACUGUCUUCCAAGAGAAUGUUGGUGUCUUUCUUGAGACGCCUCCCAACUGCUCUUUCUGAGCCUUCAAAAAAUGGCUACCAAACUGGGCAGCGAAGAGUAGUGGGAGGGGGAGAGGGGAGAGUGUCCAGAGAAAAAUGGCGUGACCCGUGAGAAGGAGGGCAGGAGGUAAGGGGCAGGAAGGGGCUAGUAAAGGCACUUCAGUCAUGGACACCGUUGUAACUCAGGAGAUAAACAUCAGGAAACACAAUUCUAUCUUCCUACAGAAGCACUGUACAUGAGAUUUACUAUGCUUCCAUCUACCCCAGGACACAGGGCGCUGCUCAGACUCCACGUGGAAAUAAGAAGCUGGGCAACAGCCAGGUCAGAAGAACAGAAUGUUUCUUAUCACACCGUCGCCCAGCUUCCUGGAAUGCUGCACUUGGGUGUACCGGGGAUCAAACUCAGGACCUCACACUCACCAGGCCAGCCUGGCACCACUGAGCUACAUCCUUGGCCCUGAAAUCCUUUUUAAUACAACACAAUGAAUGUGAAUUUAGCAGAGGCAUGAAUCACUUCCUCUUAAUUACU